GAUGAACGCUGGCGGCGUGCCUAAUACAUGCAAGUCGAGCGAACAGACGAGGAGCUUGCUCCUCUGACGUUAGCGGCGGACGGGUGAGUAACACGUGGAUAACCUACCUAUAAGACUGGGAUAACUUCGGGAAACCGGAGCUAAUACCGGAUAAUAUAUUGAACCGCAUGGUUCAAUAGUGAAAGACGGUUUUGCUGUCACUUAUAGAUGGAUCCGCGCCGCAUUAGCUAGUUGGUAAGGUAACGGCUUACCAAGGCAACGAUGCGUAGCCGACCUGAGAGGGUGAUCGGCCACACUGGAACGGAGACACGGUCCAGACUCCUACGGGAGGCAGCAGUAGGGAAUCUUCCGCAAUGGGCGAAAGCUUGACGGAGCAACGCCGCGUGAGUGAUGAAGGUCUUCGGAUCGUAAAACUCUGCUAUUAGGGAAGAACAAAUGUGUAAGUAACUAUGCACGUCUUGACGGUACCUAAUCAGAAAGCCACGGCUAACUACGUG
rnacentral:rRNA from 1 species